GAUAGAAGUAAAGUUGGUUUUAUAUUCGCACAUUCCGACCUCUGCGUUCAAUAAGUUUGUUAAUCAGCAAGUAAAGAAUCCAAAUUCAAUUAUUUACCGUUGUAGUCGAUUAUGAGCAAAAUGUACGCCACACUUUUCUGUCAAACUCGGCGUUUUAAAGGAGUAGAAAAACACGCUUACCUCUAUGAAGGAGGUGACGUCAUCGCUUUUUUGAGGGACCGUCUACAAACUAUCAGUUUGUAAAAUCAAGCUGCCAACGUUCACUGUCUAUAAUUGUACGCAAGCAAAAGAUGGCCAGAUUGAGACUUGUGAACUUCACCACUGGCUCCCUCCUUUAAAAUGUUACUCUGCUGAAGUACAUGUGAAUAAAAAAAUAUUUUCAAGACAGCAAAUAACAGUGUCAUGAAAUGAGUUCGGCUCAUUGUGGACGAAAAGAGUCCAAAAUGAGAAUCUAUGCAUUUGGGGAUUUACAAUGCUAUUAUUCACUUUGGAAUGUUUUUUUUUUACUUGCAUGUAUUUGCACAAUAUUUUUAUACAUAAUUGCCACAUAUUACAUAGUAAUGUAAUAAGUUGUACUUUCAUUACAUAUUAAGUGAGAUUCUUGCCAAUGUUUGUUUCAUGUCCCAUGUGUCAAUAUAGAGCUGCAAUAGGAAGACCAGCAGACCUUUUGUAAUUUGUGUUUGUAAUCAAUGUAAUUGCAUGAUAAAAUGAUGAAAUGGGAGAUGUAAUGGAUUUAUUCUUAAAUUAUCAUUGUGUAUGAAGUGUGCUUUUUAAAUAAACUUGUUUUGAAAUGCAAAAAAAAUACUAUAAAAAUAUGCUUAUAAAUAUUCUUAUAAAUUCAU
ensembl:processed_transcript